AAAAGAAGAAGCAGAUUUUUCAGAGAGUUCUUCAAGUGUUUGUGAUAAUUAACCCAACUCAAUUGAAAAGGUUUGUUUUCUGAAGAAAAACAAGUGAAAAUGGCAGAUGAGGGAACUGCUACUUGCAUAGAUAUCCUCUUGGCCAUCAUCUUGCCUCCUCUUGGGGUCUUCCUUAAGUAUGGUUGCAAGGCUGAGUUUUGGAUUUGUUUGGUCCUGACCCUUCUUGGGUACAUUCCUGGGAUUAUCUAUGCAGUUUAUGCCAUUACCAAGUGAUGAUCUUCAUCAUCUUCAGUG
rnacentral:misc_RNA from 1 species